rnacentral:rRNA from 1 species
CCUACGGGGGGCAGCAGUGGGGAAUAUUGGACAAUGGGGGGAACCCUGAUCCAGCGACGCCGCGUGAGUGAAGAAGUAUUUCGGUAUGUAAAGCUCUAUCAGCAGGGAAGAAAGAAAUGACGGUACCUGACUAAGAAGCCCCGGCUAACUACGUGCCAGCAGCCGCGGUAAUACGUAGGGGGCAAGCGUUAUCCGGAUUUACUGGGUGUAAAGGGAGCGUAGACGGCGAUGCAAGUCUGAAGUGAAAGGCGGGGGCCCAACCCCUGGACUGCUUUGGAAACUGUAUGGCUGGAGUGCAGGGGAGGUAAGUGGAAUUCCUAGUGUAGCGGUGAAAUGCGUAGAUAUUAGGAGGAACACCAGUGGCGAAGGCGGCUUACUGGACUGUAACUGACGUUGAGGCUCGAAAGCGUGGGGAGCAAACAGGAUUAGAUACCCUUGUAGUC